UUCCUUGAAAUCAACGUCGUCACGCCAUUUUCACCCUGCUGGCAGCGCCGCACCUUGUAUAAAGUUUUGUAAAUAUGUUCAAUUUGUUAAUAUUUUAAUAGGUUUAGUAUUGUAAAUAUGUUAAAUGCGUUGCUUGUUACGAAUGAAAGGCGUUAAAUCAUGUAAUGUAACAGUGGCGUAUACAUGUAUAAUUGUUGGAAAGAUAAGCACACCGAAUAUUACCAUCGCGUUCAAAUAUCACGGUUACAGAUAUUAUUGGAAGAAGGACAUGUAAAUAUCGCGCAUUUAGGUUAAACCUUUAUUUUGCUAUUUCUUCUUCAUGUACGCUCCGAAUACCGAAGCCGUAACUCGAAUAGCAGCGUGGUUCGUCCGCGCGCACGUUGUCGCUAGGACGAAUCGAGCGGUUUGGUGGGCGCGAGGCGCGAGACGCGGUACAACUCGUAAACACCAAAUUCUUGCGUGAACCGAGUCGCGAAAUCUCGAAGACUUUUUCUAUAAACUGGCGACGAUCACGUGGUUCUAAGAUCCUUUGUCUCCAAAGCUUCUAGAACGUUCCACCGAGUUUACGUGGUCGAGCAAGACACGAGCCUUCUCACUUCUCAUCGUACAGUCGCACGAAGCGCGAUAUUAGUCCGAGCGAGCUAAAUUGAGCAUAGUUGUAUUACCGUGAACUUAGUAGUAUUAUACGAAGGCGACCAGAACAACUCAGAACAUCGAGACCAGCGUUUUUCUCGAUUUGUAUUGUAAAGGUAUUUAGUGAAAAACGAGAAAGAAAGCAUGGUAUUGCAACCGGUAACGUGGCAAUGUAACUGCGGAUGAACCAGUUAAAUCUCCCAGUAGCGACACGGUACCUACACAACUACCCGCGGGCUGGAAAAUUGAACUACACGUAAACGCCAGCGCCGCGCCGGACGCGGGCUUCAACUUUCCAGCUAAUAUAAUAUUAUGCUUGAUGUUUUUCUCUUAAUAUAAUUUAGAGUAAUACCUAUCGCAAUAUGGAGUUUAAUAACUGUCUAUAUGGAUAUAAACUCAGUUUUCCUUUCCUAUGAUAUUCUUUCCUUUUUGAUCUAUAACUAAAUUUGUACAAAAGGGAAUGAAAGAAAAUGAUAAACUUCAUAAUUAGAUUAAAACAGAAUGUUCCA